rnacentral:rRNA from 1 species
GAACGGCCACAUUGGGACUGAGACACGGCCCAAACUCCUACGGGAGGCAGCAGUGGGGAAUAUUGCACAAUGGGGGAAACCCUGAUGCAGCGACGCCGCGUGAGUGAAGAAGUAUUUCGGUAUGUAAAGCUCUAUCAGCAGGGAAGAAAUACUGACCAUAGGGUCAGCAGACGGUACUUGACUAAGAAGCCCCGGCUAACUACGUGCCAGCAGCCGCGGUAAUACGUAGGGGGCAAGCGUUAUCCGGAUUUACUGGGUGUAAAGGGAGCGUAGACGGCAGCGCAAGUCUGAAGUGAAAUGCCAGGGCUUAACCCUGGAACUGCUUUGGAAACUGUGCAGCUAGAGUGCAGGAGAGGUAAGUGGAAUUUCUAGUGUAGCGGUGAAAUGCGUAGAUAUUAGGAGGAACACCAGUGGCGAAGGCGGCUUACUGGACUGUAACUGACGUUGAGGCUCGAAAGCGUGGGGAGCAAACAGGAUUAGAUACCCUGGUAGUCCACGCUGUAAACG